GUGUUCAUUUCAGCAGCACAUACACUAAAAUUGGAAAAGUACAGAGAAGAUUAGCAUGUCCCCUGUGCAAGGAUGACACGUAAAUUAGUGAAACAUUCCAUAUUUUU